UACGAAGGGGGCUAGCGUUGCUCGGAAUCACUGGGCGUAAAGGGUGCGUAGGCGGGUCUUUAAGUCAGGGGUGAAAUCCUGGAGCUCAACUCCAGAACUGCCUUUGAUACUGAAGAUCUUGAGUUCGGGAGAGGUGAGUGGAACUGCGAGUGUAGAGGUGAAAUUCGUAGAUAUUCGCAAGAACACCAGUGGCGAAGGCGGACUCACUGGCCCGAUACU
rnacentral:rRNA from 1 species